GAGGGUAUAGCUCAGUGGUAGAGUGCGUGCCUAGCAUGCAUGAGGCCCUGGAUUCAAUCCCCAGUAUCUUGC
rnacentral:tRNA from 1 species